AAACCAACAGGGAUUGCCCUAGUAACGGCGAGUGAAGCGGCAACAGCUCAAAUUUGAAAUCUGGCGUAAGCCCGAGUUGUAAUUUGUAGAGGAUGCUUCUGGGUAGCGACCGAUCUAAGUUCCUUGGAACAGGACGUCAUAGAGGGUGAGAAUCCCGUAUGUGACCGGCCCGCACCCUUUACGUAGCUCCUUCGACGAGUCGAGUUGUUUGGGAAUGCAGCUCUAAAUGGGAGGUAAAUUUCUUCUAAAGCUAAAUACCGGCCAGAGACCGAUAGCGCACAAGUAGAGUGAUCGAAAGAUGAAAAGUACUUUGGAAAGAGAGUUAAAAAGCACGUGAAAUUGUUGAAAGGGAAGCGCCUGCAACCAGACUUCGUGGCAGUGUUCCGCCGGUCUUCUGACCGGUUUAUUCUCUGUCGCGAGGCCAUCAUCGUCUCGGCCCGCCGGAUAAGACCUUGGGAAUGUAGCUCACCUUCGGGGGAGUGUUAUAGCCUAUGGUGAUGCGGCGAGGCUGGGGCGAGGUCCGCGCUUCGGCAAGGAUGAUGGCGUAAUGGUUGUCGGCGGC
rnacentral:rRNA from 1 species